rnacentral:rRNA from 1 species
AACGAACGCUGGCGGCAGGCCUAACACAUGCAAGUCGAGCGCCCCGCAAGGGGAGCGGCAGACGGGUGAGUAACGCGUGGGAACGUGCCCUUUGGUUCGGAACAACUCCGGGAAACUGGAGCUAAUACCGGAUAAGCCCUUCGGGGGAAAGAUUUAUCGCCAAAGGAUCGGCCCGCGUCUGAUUAGCUAGUUGGUGAGGUAAUGGCUCACCAAGGCGACGAUCAGUAGCCGGUCUGAGAGGAUGAUCAGCCACACUGGGACUGAGACACGGCCCAGACUCCUACGGGAGGCAGCAGUGGGGAAUAUUGGACAAUGGGCGCAAGCCUGAUCCAGCCAUGCCGCGUGAGUGAUGAAGGCCUUAGGGUUGUAAAGCUCUUUUGUCCGGGAAGAUAAUGACUGUACCGGAAGAAUAAGCCCCGGCUAACUUCGUGCCAGCCGCCGCUGUAAGAC